rnacentral:misc_RNA from 1 species
AACGCACAUUGCGCUUCCUGGUAUUCCGGGGAGCAUGCCCGUUUCAGAAUCAUUAAAAUCUCACCAGGGUUGAGCUUUUCGGAGCGCAGCUUUUUGAGUGGAUUUGGAUGUUUUGUUUCGACAAUCAUCUCAAAAUGAUAGUGUGUGCAUCCAUCGAACGUUCGAUGGGUUACCAAAGUGCAACAGAUUUUUCUAUUUCGCUUUGGGAGCUUAUUGAAUUGGAUGGGAGCAUAUACCCAACUUCUUAACAAACGUCUUGCCCUUGGGUGAAACAUUUGAUAACUUGGUCUGAAAUCGGGCAAGAAAACCCGCUGAACUUAA